CACACUGGGACUGAGACACGGCCCAGACUCCUACGGGAGGCAGCAGUGGGGAAUAUUGCACAAUGGGCGCAAGCCUGAUGCAGCAACGCCGCGUGAGGGACGACGGCCUUUCGGGUUGUAAACCUCUUUUAGCAGGGAAGAAGCGAAAGUGACGGUACCUGCAGAAAAAGCGCCGGCUAACUACGUGCCAGCAGCCGCGGUAAUACGUAGGGCGCAAGCGUUAUCCGGAAUUAUUGGGCGUAAAGAGCUCGUAGGCGGUUUGUCGCGUCUGCUGUGAAAACUGGAGGCUCAACCUCCAGCCUGCAGUGGGUACGGGCAGACUAGAGUGCGGUAGGGGAGAUUGGAAUUCCUGGUGUAGCGGUGGAAUGCGCAGAUAUCAGGAGGAACACCGAUGGCGAAGGCAGAUCUCUGGGCCGUAACUGACGCUGAGGAGCGAAAGGGUGGGGAGCAAACAGGCUUAGAUACCCUGGUAGUCCACCCCGUAAACGUUGGGAACUAGUUGUGGGGUCCAUUCCACGGAUUCCGUGACGCAGCUAACGCAUUAAGUUCCCCGCCUGGGGAGUACGGCCGCAAGGCUAAAACUCAAAGGAAUUGACGGGGACCCGCACAAGCGGCGGAGCAUGCGGAUUAAUUCGAUGCAACGCGAAGAACCUUACCAAGGCUUGACAUAUACGAGAACGGGCCAGAAAUGGUCAACUCUUUGGACACUCGUAAACAGGUGGUGCAUGGUUGUCGUCAGCUCGUGUCGUGAGAUGUUGGGUUAAGUCCCGCAACGAGCGCAACCCUCGUUCUAUGUUGCCAGCACGUAAUGGUGGGAACUCAUGGGAUACUGCCGGGGUCAACUCGGAGGAAGGUGGGGAUGACGUCAAAUCAUCAUGCCCCUUAUGUCUUGGGCUUCACGCAUGCUACAAUGGCCGGUACAAAGGGCUGCAAUACCGCAAGGUGGAGCGAAUCCCAAAAAGCCGGUCCCAGUUCGGAUUGAGGUCUGCAACUCGACCUCAUGAAGUCGGAGUCGCUAGUAAUCGCAGAUCAGCAACGUUUUGUUUCUAU
rnacentral:rRNA from 1 species